AGCAGCCGCGGUAAUUCCAGCUCCAAUAGCGUAUAUUAAAGUUGUUGCAGUUAAAAAGCUCGUAGUUGAAUUUCGGGGUUAGUAGGUUGGUCGUGCCACUGGUACGUACUGGUCUCACUGACUCCUCCUUCCUGAUGAACUGUAAUGCCAUUAAUUUGGUGUUGCGGGGAAACUGGACUGUUACUUUGAAAAAAUUAGAGUGUUUAAAGCAAGCUAACGCUUGAAUACAUUAGCGUGGAAUAAUGAAAUAGGACGUUCGAUCCUAUUUUGUUGGUUUCUAGGAUUGACGUAAUGAUUAAUAGGGAUAGUUGGGGGCAUUAGUAUUCAAUUGUCAGAGGUGAAAUUCUUGGAUUUAUUGAAGACUAACUACUGCGAAAGCAUUUGCCAAGGAUGUUUUCAUUAAUCAAGAACGAAAGUUAGGGGAUCGAAGACGAUCAGAUACCGUCGUAGUCUUAACCAUAAACUAUGCCGACUAGGGAUCGGAUGAUGUUAAUUUUUUAAUGACUCAUUCGGCGCCUUACG
rnacentral:rRNA from 1 species